UUGACGCCGACUACAACGAUGGGUUCGUGUUUCAGCAAGAGCGAGCCCGCGUCCACGUCGGGCAGGACCGCAGGACGAGCACCACCAGCGGCUAAGCCUGCCAAACCAGCAAAGACGGAAAACAUCCCACUCAAGAAACAACCGCCCAAACAGCCAACAAACACAUACAACUCGCCAGGACACACUCUGGGAGGCACAGCCGAAACGCUGGACGCCAAGGAGGCCGCCGCACGCGCCGCAGAGGCCCGGGCCCAGGGCCAGAAUAAGGGUGGCAAACUCAGUCAGCAGCUGGCCAAGGAGAAGGCUAAGAACCGGACCGAAUUGAUGAAGACAGAGAAAGUCGAGGAGCCAUUGAUUUAUGAUUAGUGGGCGACUCAUGUGAUUACUGUGAUUCCCGAGAUUCUGCAGUGUUGCCAUUGUGUUGUCUGCGGCUACAUUGUCUCCACGAUGCUUUCUUGUGGAGAGAUGCUCAACGACUCAACAAUAACAACAAGGGGCUAGGACGACUCAUGUGGAUGGUUACGCGCCAUCUGAGACUAGAAGGAUUAUAUAGGAAUGUAUUAUUUUAACGA
rnacentral:misc_RNA from 1 species